UGAGGGAAAGGCGAAAAGAACCCCGGCGAGGGGAGUGAAAAAGAACCUGAAACCGUGUACGUACAAGCAGUGGGAGCCUCUUUAUGGGGUGACUGCGUACCUUUUGUAUAAUGGGUCAGCGACUUAUAUUCUGUAGCAAGGUUAACCGUAUAGGGGAGCCGAAGGGAAACCGAGUCUUAACUGGGCGUUAAGUUGCAGGGUAUAGACCCGAAACCCGGUGAUCUAGCCAUGGGCAGGUUGAAGGUUGGGUAACACUAACUGGAGGACCGAACCGACUAAUGUUGAAAAAUUAGCGGAUGACUUGUGGCUGGGGGUGAAAGGCCAAUCAAACCGGGAGAUAGCUGGUUCUCCCCGAAAGCUAUUUAGGUAGCGCCUCGUGAACUCAUCUUCGGGGGUAGAGCACUGUUUCGGCUAGGGGGUCAUCCCGACUUACCAACCCGAUGCAAACUGCGAAUACCG
rnacentral:rRNA from 1 species